AUUAAUUUAUGAUUCUGCUUGCACAGUAAAGUGCAACGACUCUUCUGCGAUCAACAGUGCGAUAACGUCCCUCCCGGGUAGCCUUCAAAGACCACCCCCCACAGUGCGAUCUGGAAGCACGAAGCUGAUAAGUAGAACGAAAGAAUACCGAACAUGUACUGAGACAACCGUUGCCGCAGCACGCCAAAAGAUCAUCCCCCCAUACUCCACCUUCAACCAUUCGAUCCUAUCCCCACCACGGCGCCGUGUUUCCGCAUCAGCCAGUGGUGCUCACUGUUACUUCACAAUUUUAUGCAUAUCACUGCACUGAAAUUAUACUUUUCGCUACUGUAAAGGUGAAAUAAUGGGACAGGGAAAAGUGAAAGGCGAACCGCGAUGAAAACUGAUCGACAAGAAAAUUGUAAAAGUAACUAGAAAAUUUAGCGAGGGUAAAUUGAAAUCCUCCGUAACAUGCUCUGUAUUCUAUAAGAUAGUAGAAGGUGUUAAAUGAAAUGUCAAAAUUUUAACAACACUCGAUUUUACUGAUAUUGCAACAUACAUGCAACUUAUAUUUAUCAAAAUACUAUGUCACCACGUGCAACGCAUUGUCGAUAUCGUCUUAUAUGUACAAUAUGUUUAAUAAAACCUUUGUACCUACUGGCA